AUUAGGCUGGCGCAAAACUAAUUGUAGUUUAUGCCAUUUUAAGUUUUUAAUGGCAAAAACUGCAAUUACUUUUGCGCCAACCUAAU
rnacentral:miRNA from 1 species